rnacentral:tRNA from 1 species
GGUCCCAUAGCUCAGUUGGUCAGAGCGUCGUACUAAUAUUAUAAUCACCUUAUAACAUUAGUAAUGCGAAGGCCGUGAGUUCAAGCCUCACUGGGACCA